UAAUGUAUGGGGAUCUGCCCGAUAGAGGGGGAUAACUACUGGAAACGGUGGCUAAUACCGCAUAAUGUCUACGGACCAAAGCAGGGGCUCUUCGGACCUUGCACUAUCGGAUGAACCCAUAUGGGAUUAGCUAGUAGGUGGGGUAAAGGCUCACCUAAGCGACGAUCUCUAGCUGGUCUGAGAGGAUGAUCAGCCACACUGGGACUGAGACACGGCCCAG
rnacentral:rRNA from 1 species